rnacentral:tRNA from 1 species
GAGGGCAUAGCUCAGCCGUAGAACAUGUGCUUAGCAUGCACGAUGUCCUGGGUUCAAUCCCCAGUACCUCCA